rnacentral:rRNA from 1 species
AGUGAACGCCGGCGGCGUGCUUAACACAUGCAAGUCGAAUGAAGAGCGAUGGAAGCUUGCUUCUAUCAAUCUUAGUGGCGAACGGGUGAGUAACGCGUAAUCAACCUGCCCUUCAGAGGGGGACAACAGUUGGAAACGACUGCUAAUACCGCAUACGAUCUAACCUCGGCAUCGAGGAUAGAUGAAAGGUGGCCUCUACAUGUAAGCUAUCACUGAAGGAGGGGAUUGCGUCUGAUUAGCUAGUUGGAGGGGUAACGGCCCACCAAGGCGAUGAUCAGUAGCCGGUCUGAGAGGAUGAACGGCCACAUUGGGACUGAGACACGGCCCAGACUCCUACGGGAGGCAGCAGUGGGGAAUCUUCCGCAAUGGACGAAAGUCUGACGGAGCAACGCCGCGUGAGUGAUGACGGCCUUCGGGUUGUAAAGCUCUGUUAAUCGGGACGAAAGGCCUUCUUGCGAAUAGUGAGAAGGAUUGACGGUACCGGAAUAGAAAGCCACGGCUAACUACGUGCCAGCCGCCGCAGUAA